rnacentral:tRNA from 1 species
GGUACUGAUAUUAAACAGGAAGUGACGGCCUGCUAAGCCGUUUAGGCCGGUUCGACUCCGGCUCGCGCCUCCA